GACGAACGCUGGCGGCGUGCUUAACACAUGCAAGUCGAACGGAAAGGCCCUGCUUUUGUGGGGUGCUCGAGUGGCGAACGGGUGAGUAACACGUGAGUAACCUGCCCUUGACUUUGGGAUAACUUCAGGAAACUGGGGCUAAUACCGGAUAGGAGCUCCUGCUGCAUGGUGGGGGUUGGAAAGUUUCGGCGGUUGGGGAUGGACUCGCGGCUUAUCAGCUUGUUGGUGGGGUAGUGGCUUACCAAGGCUUUGACGGGUAGCCGCCCUGAGAGGGUGACCGGCCACCUUGGGACUGAGAUACGGCCCAGACUCCUACGGGAGGCAGCAGUGGGGAAUAUUGCACGAUGGGCGGAAGCCUGAUGCAGCAACGCCGCGUGCGGGAUGACGGCCUUCGGGUUGUAAACCGCUUUCGCCUGUGACGAAGCGUGAGUGACGGUAAUGGGUAAAGAAGCACCGGCUAACUACGUG
rnacentral:rRNA from 1 species